AUUGAACGCUGGCGGCAGGCUUAACACAUGCAAGUCGAACGAUGACUCUCUAGCUUGCUAGAGAAGAUUAGUGGCGGACGGGUGAGUAACAUUUAGGAAUCUGCCUAGUAGUGGGGGAUAGCUCGGGGAAACUCGAAUUAAUACCGCAUACGACCUACGGGUGAAAGGGGGCGCAAGCUCUUGCUAUUAGAUGAGCCUAAAUCAGAUUAGCUAGUUGGUGGGGUAAAGGCCCACCAAGGCGACGAUCUGUAACCGGUCUGAGAGGAUGAUCAGUCACACCGGAACUGAGACACGGUCCGGACUCCUACGGGAGGCAGCAGUGGGGAAUAUUGGACAAUGGGGGCAACCCUGAUCCAGCCAUGCCGCGUGUGUGAAGAAGGCCUUUUGGUUGUAAAGCACUUUAAGCAGGGAGGAGAGGCUAAUGGUUAAUACCCAUUAGAUUAGACGUUACCUGCAGAAUAAGCACCGGCUAACUCUGUGCCAGCAGCCGCGGUAAUACAGAGGGUGCGAGCGUUAAUCGGAAUUACUGGGCGUAAAGCGAGUGUAGGUGGCUCAUUAAGUCACAUGUGAAAUCCCCGGGCUUAACCUGGGAACUGCAUGUGAUACUGGUGGUGCUAGAAUAUGUGAGAGGGAAGUAGAAUUCCAGGUGUAGCGGUGAGAUGCGUAGAGAUCUGGAGGAAUACCGAUGGCGAAGGCAGCUUCCUGGCAUAAUAUUGACACUGAGAUUCGAAAGCGUGGGUAGCAAACAGGAUUAGAUACCCUGGUAGUCCACGCCGUAAACGAUGUCUACUAGCCGUUGGGGUCCUUGAGACUUUAGUGGCGCAGUUAACGCGAUAAGUAGACCGCCUGGGGAGUACGGCCGCAAGGUUAAAACUCAAAUGAAUUGACGGGGGCCCGCACAAGCGGUGGAGCAUGUGGUUUAAUUCGAUGCAACGCGAAGAACCUUACCUGGUCUUGACAUAGUGAGAAUCCUGCAGAGAUGCGGGAGUGCCUUCGGGAAUUCACAUACAGGUGCUGCAUGGCUGUCGUCAGCUCGUGUCGUGAGAUGUUGGGUUAAGUCCCGCAACGAGCGCAACCCUUUUCCUUAUUUGCCAGCGGGUUAAGCCGGGAACUUUAAGGAUACUGCCAGUGACAAACUGGAGGAAGGCGGGGACGACGUCAAGUCAUCAUGGCCCUUACGACCAGGGCUACACACGUGCUACAAUGGUAGGUACAGAGGGUUGCUACACAGCGAUGUGAUGCUAAUCUCAAAAAGCCUAUCGUAGUCCGGAUUGGAGUCUGCAACUCGACUCCAUGAAGUCGGAAUCGCUAGUAAUCGCAGAUCAGAAUGCUGCGGUGAAUACGUUCCCGGGCCU
rnacentral:rRNA from 1 species